CCCGACUGCUAUCAGAAUGAGAUUAAGCCAUGCGAGUCAACGUAGCAAUACGUGGCACACGGCUCAGUAACACGUAGUCAACAUAACCAGAGGACGUGGAUAAACUCGGGAAACUGAGGCUAAACCGCGAUAGACCAAGAUACCUGGAAUGGUUUUUGAUCAAAAUCUAUAUGGCCCUUGGAUUGGACUGCGUCCGAUCAGGCUGUUGGUGAGGUAAUGGCCCACCAAACCUAUAACCGGUACGGGCUCUGAGAGGAGGAGCCCGGAGAUGGGUACUGAGACAAGGACCCAGGCCCUAUGGGGCGCAGCAGGCGCGAAACCUCUGCAAUAGGCGAAAGCCUGACAGGGUUACUCUGAGUGAUUCCCGCUAAGGGAAUCUUUUGGCAUCUCUAAAAAUGGUGCAGAAUAAGGGGUGGGCAAGUCUGGUGUCAGCCGCCGCGGUAAUACCAGCACCCCGAGUGGUCGGGACGAUUAUUGGGCCUAAAGCAUCCGUAGCCGGUCUUGCAAGUCUUCCGUUAAAUCCAGCUGCUUAACAGAUGGGCUGCGGAGGAUACUACAAGGCUAGGAGGCGGGAGAGGCAAGCGGUACUCAGUGGGUAGGGGUAAAAUCCUCUGAUCCAUUGAAGACCACCAGUGGCGAAGGCGGCUUGCCAGAACGUGCUCGACGGUGAGGGAUGAAAGCUGGGGGAGCAAACCGGAUUAGAUACCCGGGUAGUCCCAGCUGUAAACGAUGCAGACUCGGUGAUGGGCCGGCUUUAUGCCGGCUCAGUGCCGCAGGGAAGCCGUUAAGUCUGCCGCCUGGGGAGUACGGUCGCAAGACUGAAACUUAAAGGAAUUGGCGGGGGAGCACCACAAGGGGUGAAGCCUGCGGUUC
rnacentral:rRNA from 1 species